UCAAAGGAAAAGUUCUUGAUGCCAUGCCCAUUUAAAAAUUUAAAAUAUCCAAAGAUCACCGGGAUUAAUCAGCCGGAUAACGGGUGUCAACUAGAAAAAAUCAAAACGCCACUGUUUUUCAUCUCCUUCGACUUGAAGCUUCGUCUCCCAUCUCCUUGUUGGUUCCAUGGAGAAGAGAGCCGUGAGAUCGACGCGUUCACCGGCAGGCCGUUCAAGGGCAACCCGGCGGCCGUGUGUCUGCUGGACGCUCCUGAGGACGCGGCGGCGGGAGACGACUGGAUGCAGUCGGUCGCCAAAGAGUUCAACGCCCCGGUCACCGCUUUCCUCUCUCGCGCCGUCGAUGUGGGAUCCGAUGGCCCGACCAAUGGCGUUGCCGGCCCCCGAUUCAAUAUCCGAUGGUUCACUUCCGUCUUGGAGGUAAACAUUUGUGGUCAUGCAACUCUAGCAGCUGCACAUUUUCUCUGGUCACUUGAUCUAGUGAAUGGUGGAGUAAUUUAUUUUUCAACAAAAUCUGGAUUACUGAAAGCUAGAAAAGCUAUUUCAUUGAAUAAUUCAGAUACAACAAAUAUUUCAUUAGCCAAAUCUGAUAAGUUCUUCAUCGAGUUGGAUUUUCCAUUAUUUCCAGUAGCAGAGUGUGAUACUUCUGAGAAACCAUUGAUUCCAGAUACUCUGAAUGGUGCUUCUGUCAUCAAUGUUCUGAAAUUUGGAGCUGAUGAAGACCUCAUUGUCGAGCUUUCUUCAACAAAGGAAAUUCUCAAUUUGCAACCAAACUUUGAAGAGAUUCAAAAGUGUGCUCGUGGUUCCCUUGCCGUAACAGCACCUGCUCCUGCUGGUUCUGAAUUCGACUUCUUUACUCACUACUUCUGCCCAAAGUUUGGAGUCUAUGAGCCACAGGUACAUCAAUACAUGUAUUUGUUAUCUUUCUUGUAUAAAGUUUGAGAGAGUUGAAGAUACUCGAUACUUUAAUUGAAAACUGAAGCCGACCAAUCGUAGGAAACUGAGCCUUGAAACAGAAAGUCGACCAAUUGUAGUCUCGAGUUUCAUUUGAAUGAAUCCAUGAUAUUUUAGGAAAAAUCUCUACCUCUAUCGUUCUUUUUACAUGUACAAGAUCUAUCACAGGAUCAUGUUUGUGGAAGUGUGCACUGUGCUUUAGCACCAUACUGGAGUAAAAAGCUGGGGAAGAACAACCUUGUUGCUUACAUGGCUUCGCCAAGAAGUGGGAGACUCGACCUUGAAUUGAUUGCUGAGGCGCGUAGAAUAUGCAUUCGG